GGUGGCUCAGUGGUAGAGUUCUUGCCUCACAUGUAUGAGGCCCUAGGUUCGAUUCCUCAGCACCA
rnacentral:tRNA from 1 species